rnacentral:rRNA from 1 species
GCAAGCCUACGGGGCGCAGCAGUGGGGAAUAUUGCACAAUGGGCGAAAGCCUGAUGCAGCAACGCCGCGUGAGCGAUGAAGGCCUUCGGGUCGUAAAGCUCUGUCCUCAAGGAAGAUAAUGACGGUACUUGAGGAGGAAGCCCCGGCUAACUACGUGCCAGCAGCCGCGGUAAUACGUAGGGGGCUAGCGUUAUCCGGAAUUACUGGUCGUAAAGGGUGCGUAGGUGGUUUCUUAAGUCAGAGGUGAAAGGCUACGGCUCAACAGCAGUAAGACUUUGAAACU